rnacentral:rRNA from 1 species
GACGAACGCUGGCGGCGCGCCUAACACAUGCAAGUCGAACGGAGUUGUGUUGAAAGCUUGCUGGAUAUACAACUUAGUGGCGGACGGGUGAGUAACACGUGAGUAACCUGCCUCUCAGAGUGGAAUAACGUUUGGAAACGAACGCUAAUACCGCAUAACGUGAGAAGAGGGCAUCCUCUUUUUACCAAAGAUUUAUCGCUGAGAGAUGGGCUCGCGGCCGAUUAGGUAGUUGGUGAGAUAACAGCCCACCAAGCCGACGAUCGGUAGCCGGACUGAGAGGUUGAUCGGCCACAUUGGGACUGAGACACGGCCCAGACUCCUACGGGAGGCAGCAGUGGGGGAUAUUGCACAAUGGGGGAAACCCUGAUGCAGCGACGCCGCGUGAGGGAAGACGGUUUUCGGAUUGUAAACCUCUGUCUUUAGGGACGAAAAAAUGACGGUACCUAAGGAGGAAGCCACGGCUAACUACGUGCCAGCAGCCGCGGUAACACGUAGGUGGCAAGCGUUGUCCGGAAUUACUGGGUGUAAAGGGAGCGUAGGCGGGGAGACAAGUUGAAUGUCUAAACUAUCGGCUUAACUGAUAGUCGCGUUCAAAACUAUCACUCUUGAGUGCAGUAGAGGUAGGCGGAAUUCCUAGUGUAGCGGUGAAAUGCGUAGAUAUUAGGAGGAACACCAGUGGCGAAGGCGGCCUACUGGGCUGUAACUGACGCUGAGGCUCGAAAGCGUGGGUAGCAAACAGGAUUAGAUACCCUGGUAGUCCACGCCGUAAACGAUGGAUUACUAGGUGUGGGGAGGCAAAGCUUUUCGGUGCCGCAGCAAACGCAAUAAGCAGUCCACCUGGGGAGUACGUUCGCAAGAAUGAAACUCAAAGGAAUAGACGGGGACCCGCACAAGCGGUGGAGCAUGUGGUUUAAUUCGAAGCAACGCGAAGAACCUUACCUGCCCUUGACAUCCGGCUGACCGGCGAGUAAUGUCGCCUUUCCUUCGGGACAGCCGAGACAGGUGGUGCAUGGUUGUCGUCAGCUCGUGUCGUGAGAUGUUGGGUUAAGUCCCGCAACGAGCGCAACCCUUAUCUUUAGUAGCCAGCAUUUCGGAUGGGCACUCUAGAGAGACUGCCAAGGAUAACCUGGAGGAAGGUGGGGAGGACGUCAAAUCAUCAUGCCCCUUAUGGGCAGGGCUACACACGUGCUACAAUGGCGUAAACAAAGGGAGGCAGACCUGCGAGGGUGAGCAAAUCCCAAAAAUAACGUCUCAGUUCGGAUUGUAGUCUGCAACUCGACUACAUGAAGCUGGAAUCGCUAGUAAUCGCGAAUCAGAAUGUCGCGGUGAAAAAGUUCCCGGGUCUUGCACU